ACGCACGCUGGCGGCGUGCUUAACCCAUGCCAGUCGAACGGAAAGGCCCUGCUUGCAGGGUACUCGAGUGGCGAACGGGUGAGUAACACGUGGGUGAUCUGCCCUGCACUUCGGGAUAAGCCUGGGAAACUGGGUCUAAUACCGGAUAUGACCUUCCAUGUAGUGUGGGGGGUGGAAAGAUUUAUCGGUGUGGGAUGAGCCCGCGGCCUAUCAGCUUGUUGGUGGGGUAAUGGCCUACCAAGGCGUCGACGGGUAGCCGGCCUGAGAGGGUGGACGGCCACAUUGGGACUGAGAUACGGCCCAGACUCCUACGGGAGGCAGCAGUGGGGAAUAUUGCACAAUGGGCGGAAGCCUUAUGCAGCGACGCCGCGUGGGGGAUGACGGCCUUCGGGUUGUAAACCUCUUUCGACAGGGACGAAGCUUCGGUGACGGUACCUGUAUAAGAAGCACCGGCUAACUACGUG
rnacentral:rRNA from 1 species